rnacentral:rRNA from 1 species
GCCUACGGGAGGCAGCAGUGGGGAAUAUUGCACAAUGGGCGAAAGCCUGAUGCAGCAACGCCGCGUGAAGGAAGACGGUUUUCGGAUUGUAAACUUCUGUUCUUAGCGAAGAAUAAUGACGGUAACUAAGGAGCAAGCCACGGCUAACUACGUGCCAGCAGCCGCGGUAAUACGUAGGUGGCAAGCGUUGUCCGGAAUUACUGGGUGUAAAGGGAGCGUAGGCGGGAAGCCAAGUCAGCUGUGAAAACUACGGGCUUAACCUGUA